UUCAGAGGUUUCCAAAUAUGCAGCAGGUCAACAGGAAGAGUCUGGUGGUUUGCCAGCAGACCUUGUUGUUUCGGGACAUUCAAACCGGGCAGUUCUUCAACAUGAUGUCUAUGUGUCUAGCACUAAGAGCAAGACUAUCGUUGUCUUCAGCAAAGCAGAAAAUUUACCAGCGCGUGUUACUACACAGAGUGAGCCAGGUGGAGACAAUUUGAUACUACUAGAACCUCUGGACACCCUUGUCAUUUCUGGAACGAGAAGCUCAAACCAAAGAUACCUAGUCAAAUACGGCGAUGAGAUCAUGUGUUCAUAACUUGCCAGCAACCAGUUAGAAGUGUAACGUAAAAGUACAGAAGUGCAUAUAGAGACUGAUCAUUUUUUUUGAAAAUAGUAUUUAUAUUUUAAUUACGAUUUCUGUGAAUGGACUCAACAGACGAUGAAAUGUACGAAAUAAAACAUUUUACUACCGGCUUUGUAUUGACCAUUAUCAAGUUUGAAUCAUUUAAACAUUUGAACUGUUCGAAAAGUGGUUGUGUAAAGACCUUAACUUAGAUUGUCAUUUUAUUUUCGGAUCUUAACUGAUAGAAGUAUCAAUGAAUCAGGAAUAAGAAAUAAGCAAGACAUUAUUGUUAUUUCUAUUUUAAAUGAACACGUACUAUUAAACAUCACAACUUUA